rnacentral:rRNA from 1 species
CCUACGGGUGGCAGCAGUGGGGAAUAUUGCACUAUGGGGGAAACCCUGAUGCAGCGACGCCGCGUGAGUGAAGAAGUAUUUCGGUAUGUAAAGCUCUAUCAGCAGGGAAGAAACCCACCCUCCGGGGUGGCUGACGGUACCUGACUAAGAAGCCCCGGCUAACUACGUGCCAGCAGCCGCGGUAAUACGUAGGGGGCAAGCGUUAUCCGGAUUUACUGGGUGUAAAGGGAGCGUAGACGGCGAUGCAAGUCUGAAGUGAAAGGCGGGGGCCCAACCCCCGGACUGCUUUGGAAACUGUAUGGCUGGAGUGCAGGAGAGGUAAGUGGAAUUCCUAGUGUAGCGGUGAAAUGCGUAGAUAUUAGGAGGAACACCAGGGGCGAAGGCGGCUUACUGGACUGUAACUGACGUUGAGGCUCGAAAGCGUGGGGAGCAAACAGGAUUAGAUACCCGUGUAGUC